GAGUUAAGUCAUACAAGAGAAAGCUUCUAACUUUAAUCUUAAGCAGUGAAAUUCUGUUUUUAACUCU
rnacentral:tRNA from 1 species